rnacentral:rRNA from 1 species
GACGAACGCUGGCGGCGUGCCUAAUACAUGCCAGUCGAACGGUUUAGUUCCGAGAGGCUUGCCUUUUGGAACUAGACAGUGGCGGACGGGUGAGUAACACGUAGGCAACCUACCUGUCAAACCGGGAUAACCGCGGGAAACCGAAGCUAAACCCGGAUAAGCUCCUUUUUCGCAUGAAGGGGGAGUGAAAAGGUGCGACCUGAUGACAGAUGGGCCUGCGGCGCAUUAGCUAGUAGGUAGGGUAACGGCCUACCUAGGCGAUGGAGCGUAGCCGACAUGAGAGGGCGUACGACCGCACUUGGACUAAGGUACAGCCUAGAAUCCUACGGGAGGCAGGAGUAGGGAAGAUUCGGGGAGGAGGGAAAGCCUGACCGAGCAACGCCGCGUGAGUGAGGAAGGCCUUCGGGUUGUAAAACUCUUGUGUUUGGGAAGAAGGGAAAGGGUAGGACCCUUAUGUGACGGUACCAAAAGAGAAAGCCCCGGCUAACUACGUG